CAGCAUGAUGUGAUGAUUGCAUAGUUCAUCUGAAUCGGCAAUGUCGAUUAAAUCGCAAAUUAAAGUCUUUCGCUCCUAUCUGACUCAUGCUU
rnacentral:snoRNA from 1 species